UGAGAGCCAGAGACUAUGCAAACUGAAGGCCUGUAAAGAGGAGUUUUACAACGCUGUGAUCAACGUCUUCACGAGGAAAGAGCGGCGGAUGGAUUUUAUAUACAAAUAAUAUACCGAUUGGUUCCAUGCUGUGGUUCUGGGAAUCUUUCCCACGUCUGGACCCCGCUGCUCCAGCAGCCACUGCUCCGCCGCCGCCCUUCAGGGCCACCUUGCAGGGCGCAGAAAAACUGGCCCUUGAAAUAUGCGUGGCCGUCCUGGAGGGUUCGGGCUCGGCCACAAAUGUCGCAGGGACCCCCCAGGCUCUACUUCUUCUCUCCUUUGUCUCUAAUCCAGGCCAAUAUGAACAGUUUGACCCAGGUUAGACAUUAAGUGAACUUGAACCCCUCCCCUCAACACCUCUGAACAGCAGGGUGGGUGGAAAGUUCCUUGAAACCUUUAAGGUUUUGAAAGCCCUCCCCUCUGGACAGCAGGGUGGAAAGUUACGUGCAAACUUUGGACAGUACACAAUAACUAUUUACAAAUAUUUAGGCGGGGCGGGGCGAGGGGGGGGCUGCCCCCUCCGCCUGUUUUUCUGCCAGCCACUGCUCCACCGUCUUAGACUGGCCACAGAGCCGGCAGUUAAACCUGCACGAGGUGGCUGAGGCUGAGGACGAAGAUGUGCUGGCGCUGGCACUGGCACUGGCACUGGCGACGACGAGGUCAUACGCACCAGUUUACCUGAUUGCUGGAUGAGAUGUACCUCGCCAUUAUCUGAUGGAUGAUUAAAUGUAAUGUGAAUGGAUUAAAUGUAAU
ensembl:lncRNA